GCGUGGAAUGUGACAUGGGCGAAGCCUGAUCCAGCAAUACCGCGUGUGUGAAGCAAGGCCUGAGGGUUGUAAAGCACUUUCAAUUGGGAGGAAAACAGGCGAGGAUAAUAUCUCGUCUCUUGACUUACCUUUAGAAGAAGCACCGGCUAACUCCGUGCCAGCAGCCGCGGUAAUA
rnacentral:rRNA from 1 species